rnacentral:rRNA from 1 species
UACGUAGGUCCCGAGCGUUGUCCGGAUUUAUUGGGCGUAAAGCGAGCGCAGGUGGUUUAUUAAGUCUAGUGUAAAAGGCAGUGGCUCAACCAUUGUAUGCAUUGGAAACUGGUAGACUUGAGUGCAGGAGAGGAGAGUGGAAUUCCAUGUGUAGCGGUGAAAUGCGUAGAUAUAUGGAGGAACACCGGUGGCGAAAGCGGCUCUCUGGCCUGUAACUGACGCUGAGGCUCGAAAGCGUGGGGAGCAAACAGG